CGUAACCUUCGAGGUCUCUAAAUGUAUUCAUUAAGCCCUUCAAGACCUUAAUUAAAGUAAUUCAAGGGCUUCAAAUAUAUUUAAAAAAAUUGAACUUCAAGUACUUACUAAUUCAAGUAAUUCAAAAAGGCUAAGAUAUAAAUUAAUUACAUAUAUGAAAUUAAAGAAGUUGGCAACAAAAAUCAAAAGUAAAGAAACUGAUUUUAUAUUUUCAAAAUUCGCUAGGUUAGCAGGGUACAGCCGCGCGGCUAUACUAUUUAAAAAAAAAUUAAGAAAAUCUAGUAUAGCCGGGCGGCUAUACUAUUUAUAUACAUAAUAGGGAUCCAGCCAGCACCUAGGCGCCACGUGUCAAACCAUGCGGCCGUACUGUUCUGAACAUUUAAAAAAAAACAAAAAAAGGGGUUAAAACCGAGUAUAGCCGCGCGGCUAUACUAUUUCAAAAAAAAAAAUUUUAAAAUCUAUUAUAGCCGGGCGGCUGUACUAUUUAUAUACAUAAUAGGGAUCCAGCCAGCACCUAGGCGCCACGUGUCAAACCUUGCGGCUGUACAGUUCUGAACAUUUUUUUUUUCAAAAAAAAAAAGGGGUUAAAAGCGAGUAUAGCCGCUCGGCUAUACUAUUUUAAAAAAAAUUUAAAAAAUCUAGCCAGCACCUAGGCGCCACGUGUCAAACCAUGCGGCUGUACUGUUUUUAAAAUCUGGAAAAAAAAGGGUUUAAAAGCGCGUAUAGCCGUGCGGCUAUACUAUUUUUAUAUUUUAAAAAGGGUCAAUAAUGUUUUUUAAGAAAAAAAAAAGGUUAUUUUUAGUAAUUAAACAAUCUCUUAGCCUGAUUUAAUUACUUGAAUUAUGAAUUAGGUCCUACCUAUUAUUUAUCUAGUGAAUAAUUGAUAUUAAAUAUUUUAAUUAACUUCAUAAAUGAUAUUACUUAAUAUAUAUCUUGCAUUUUUGUAAGAAACUAGUGAGCUCUCACAUUCCUUCAUAGUUAGUAAAAUACGGGAAGGAAAAAAAUGCGAAUNNNNNNNNNNNNNNNNNNNNNNNNNNNNNNNNNNNNNNNNNNNNNNNNNNNNNNNNNNNNNNNNNNNNNNNNNNNNNNNNNNNNNNNNNNNNNNNNNNNNGUCACUAUUUUUUUAAAUUAUAUAUUUAUUUUUUAUUCCCAUAAAUAUAGGGCCGUGGUAUACCGGUGUGUUAAACAUGAAAAAACAACGUUACGUACCAUGUUAUAAUACGUAACCCUUCGAGGUUUCUUAAAAGGUAUUUCAUUUAAGCCCUUCAAAGACCUUAAUUUAAAGUAAUUCAAGGGCCUUCAAAAUAUAUUUUAAAAAAAUUGAACUUUCAAAGUACCUUAUUAAUUCCAAGUAAUUCAAAAAAAGGCUAAGAUAUAAAUUAAUUUACAUAUAUGAAAUUUAAAGAAAGUUGGCCAACAAAAAUCAAAAGUAAAAGAAACUGAUUUUUAUUUUUUUCAAAAUUCGCUAGGUUAGCAGGGGUACAGCCCGCGCGGCUAUACUAUUUAAAAAAAAAUUAAGAAAAUCUAGUAUAGCCGGGCGGCUAUACUAUUUAUAUACAUAAUAGGGAUCCAGCCAGCACCUAGGCGCCACGUGUCAAACCAUGCGGCCGUACUGUUCUGAACAUUUUAAAAAAAACAAAAAAAGGGGUUAAAACCGAGUAUAGCCGCGCGGCUAUACUAUUUCAAAAAAAAAAAUUUAAAAAUCUAUUAUAGCCGGGCGGCUGUACUAUUUAUAUACAUAAUAGGGAUCCAGCCAGCACCUAGGCGCCACGUGUCAAACCUUGCGGCUGUACAGUUUUGAACAUUUUUUUUUUUCAAAAAAAAAAAGGGGUUAAAAGCGAGUAUAGCCGCUCGGCUAUACUAUUUUAAAAAAAAUUUAAAAAAUCUAGCCAGCACCUAGGCGCCACGUGUCAAACCAUGCGGCUGUACUUUUUUUAAAAUCUGGAAAAAAAAGGGUUUAAAGCGCGUAUAGCCGUGCGGCUAUACUAUUUUUAUAUUUUAAAAAGGGUCAAUAAUGUUUUUUAAGAAAAAAAAAAGGUUAUUUUUAGUAAUUAAACAAUCUCUUAGCCUGAUUUAAUUACUUGAAUUAUGAAUUAGGUCCUACCUAUUAUUUAUCUAGUGAAUAAUUGAUAUUAAAUAUUUUAAUUAACUUCAUAAAUGAUAUUACUUAAUAUAUAUCUUGCAUUUUUGUUAGAACAAGUGAGCUCUCACAUUCAUUCAUAGUUAGUAAAAUACGGAAGGGAAAAAAAUGCGAAUUAAAUACGUAUGUGUUUGAUUCGGCAAUAUCUUGGCACAUUACAACCCAAAAAUUCGGUCACUAUACUGUAUUUUUUAAAUAUAUAUUAUUUUUAUUCCAUAAUAUGUGCGUGUAUACGUGUGUUAAACAUGAAAAACACGUACGUACAUGUAUAAUACGUAACCUUCGAGGUCUCUAAAUGUAUUCAUUAAGCCCUUCAAGACCUUAAUUAAAGUAAUUCAAGGGCUUCAAAUAUAUUUAAAAAAAUUGAACUUCAAGUACUUACUAAUUCAAGUAAUUCAAAAAGGCUAAGAUAUAAAUUAAUUACAUAUAUGAAAUUAAAGAAGUUGGCAACAAAAAUCAAAAGUAAAGAAACUGAUUUUAUAUUUUCAAAAUUCGCUAGGUUAGCAGGGUACAGCCGCGCGGCUAUACUAUUUAAAAAAAAAUUAAGAAAAUCUAGUAUAGCCGGGCGGCUAUACUAUUUAUAUACAUAAUAGGGAUCCAGCCAGCACCUAGGCGCCACGUGUCAAACCAUGCGGCCGUACUGUUCUGAACAUUUAAAAAAAAACAAAAAAAGGGGUUAAAACCGAGUAUAGCCGCGCGGCUAUACUAUUCAAAAAAAAAAAUUUAAAAUCUGUUACACCCGGGCGGCUGUACUAUUUAUAUACAUAAUAGGGAUCCAGCCAGCACCUAGGCGCCACGUGUCAAACCAUGCGGCCGUACUGUUCUGAACAUUUUUUUUUUCAAAAAAAAAAAGGGGUUAAAAGCGAGUAUAGCCGCUCGGCUACACUAUUUUAAAAAAAAUUUAAAAAAUCUAGCCAGCACCUAGGCGCCACGUGUCAAACCAUGCGGCUGUACUGUUUUUAAAAUCUGGAAAAAAAAGGGUUUAAAGCGCGUAUAGCCGUGCGGCUAUACUAUUUUUAUAUUUUAAAAAGGGUCAAUAAUGUUUUUUAAGAAAAAAAAAAGGUUAUUUUUAGUAAUUAAACAAUCUCUUAGCCUGAUUUAAUUACUUGAAUUAUGAAUUAGGUCCUACCUAUUAUUUAUCUAGUGAAUAAUUGAUAUUAAAUAUUUUAAUUAACUUCAUAAAUGAUAUUACUUAAUAUAUAUCUUGCAUUUUUGUUAGAACAAGUGAGCUCUCACAUUCAUUCAUAGUUAGUAAAAUACGGAAGGGAAAAAAAUGCGAAUUAAAUACGUAUGUGUUUGAUUCGGCAAUAUCUUGGCACAUUACAACCCAAAAAUUCGGUCACUA
rnacentral:lncRNA from 1 species